GACGAACGCUGGCGGCGUGCUUAACACAUGCAAGUCGAGCGAGAACCCGGGGCUUGCCCCGGGGAAAGCGGCGAACGGGUGCGUAACACGUGGGCAACCUGCCCCAGACAUUGGGAUAACUCCGGGAAACCGGGGCUAAUACCGGAUACUCCGGCCGAACCGCAUGAUCCGGCCGGGAAAGCUCCGACGGUCUGGGAUGGGCCCGCGGCCUAUCAGCUUGUUGGUUGGGUAACGCCACAAGGCGA
rnacentral:rRNA from 1 species